rnacentral:misc_RNA from 1 species
CUGAAUGGCGUGUGUCCUGGUUGUGGUAGGACCAUUUCCUUCCUAUCAGAUUUGGUCAGAUGUCGGACCAGCUGGGAUUCGGUCUACCAUGCCUUUCACCAAACAAACCUGUCAUUGUAUUGUAUGGCAUUAAAGCUAUAUAAAUAUAAAUA